AGAUUGAACGCUGGCGGCGUGCCUAACACAUGCAAGUCGAGCGGUAACAGGUGUAGCAAUACAUGCUGACGAGCGGCGAACGGGUGAGUAAUGCUUUGGAAUCUUCCCAGUAGUGGGGAAUAACCAGUCGAAAGAUUGGCUAAUACCGCAUACGUCUGUAAAGGGAAAGCGGGGGCUCGUAAGACCUCGCGCUAUUGGAUGAGCCAAAGUCGGAUUAGCUAGUUGGUGGGGUAAUGGCCUACCAAGGCGACAAUCCGUAGCUGGUCUGAGAGGACGACCAGCCACACCGGAACUGAGACACGGUCCGGACUCCUACGGGAGGCAGCAGUGGGGAAUAUUGGACAAUGGGGGAAACCCUGAUCCAGCGACGCCGCGUGUGUGAAGAGGCCUGCGGGUUGUAAAGCACUUUUAGUGGGGACAAAAGCUACGGAUUAAUACUCUGUGGUCUUGAUUUAACCCAAAGAAAAGCACCGGCUAACUCUGUGCCAGCAGCCGC
rnacentral:rRNA from 1 species